GGGCCAAACCCUACAUUUCAUACGAGGAAAGAACCAACUGGGAAUUCCUUAGUAACGGCGAGUGAAGCGGCAAUAGCUCAAAUUUGAAAGCUGGCGUCUUUGGCGUCCGCGUUGUAAUUUGUAGAGGAUGCUUCGGCGAGGGCUCCGGUCUAAGUUCCCUGGAACGGGACGUCAUAGAGGGUGAGAAUCCCGUAUGUGAUCGGUUGCCUAAGCCAUGUGAAGCUCCUUCGACGAGUCGAGUUGUUUGGGAAUGCAGCUCUAAAUGGGAGGUAAAUUUCUUCUAAAGCUAAAUACCGGCCAGAGACCGAUAGCGCACAAGUAGAGUGAUCGAAAGAUGAAAAGCACUUUGGAAAGAGAGUUAAAAAGUACGUGAAAUUGUUGAAAGGGAAGCGCUUGCAACCAGACUCGUCCGCAGUUGCUCAGCCGGUCUCUUGACCGGCGUACUCUUCUGCGGCCGGGCCAGCAUCAGUUCGGGCGGCCGGAUAAAGGCCUCGGGAAUGUAGCACCCUUCGGGGUGUGUUAUAGCCCGGGGUGGAAUGCGGCCAGCCUGGACUGAGGAUCUCGCUUCGGCUAGGAUGCUGGCGUAAUGGUUGUAAGCGGCCCGUCUUGAAACACGGACCAAGGAGUCUAACAUCUAUGCGAGUGUUUGGGUGUCAAACCCAUGCGCGUAAUGAAAGUGAACGGAGGUGGGAACCCUCACGGGUGCACCAUCGACCGAUCCUGAUGUCUUCGGAUGGAUUUGAGUAUGAGCAUAGCUGUUGGGACCCGAAAGAUGGUGAACUAUGCCUGAAUAGGGUGAAGCCAGAGGAAACUCUGGUGGAGGCUCGCAGCGGUUCUGACGUGCAAAUCGAUCGUCAAAUUUGGGUAUAGGGGCGAAAGACUAAUCGACC
rnacentral:rRNA from 1 species